GGCCAGCCCUGAUGCUUCUGGCAGUCAUGGCUUUUGGCAGAAAGAUGAGGCCCUUCCUCCUGCUGCUGCCGCUGCUGCUUCUCUCCAGGACCCGGAGCCACAACCCGAAAAGGCCCAACUUUGUCCUCCUGAUGGCGGAUGACUUGGGCAUCGGGGACCCCGGUUGUUAUGGGAACAAGACUCUUAGGACACCCCACAUCGACCGGCUCGCCGCAGACGGGGUGAAGCUCACACAACACCUGGUCGCCUCACCCCUGUGCACCCCGAGCCGUGCAGCCUUCAUGACUGGCCGGUACCCUGUGCGAUCAGGAAUGGCCUCACGGUCUCGAGUGGGUGUGUUCCUCUUCUCCGCGUCUUCUGGAGGUCUGCCGCCCAGCGAGGUGACGUUCGCCAAGCUGCUCAGGGACCAGGGUUAUGCCACAGCCCUGAUCGGGAAGUGGCACCUGGGCACCCACUGCCGGCACAAUGAUGAUUUCUGCCACCACCCUUCCCGGCACGGCUUCGAGCACUUCUACGGGAUCCCGGUGACCAACAUGCGGGACUGCAAGCCGGGGGCGGGCAGCGUCUUCACCGGGGGCAUACAGCUGCUGGUGUACCUGCCCCUGAAGCUGCUGGGCGUGCUGCUGCUCCUGCUGGCGGCCCUGCGCCACCUGGGGCUGGCGGCCGUGCCCACCGGUGUCUUCGCGGCGCUGCUGCUGCUGGCGGCUGGGCUGCUGGCCCUGCAGUUCUGCUUCCUGCGCUACUACCGGCCUCUCAACUGCUUCCUCAUGCGCGGGACAGAGCUCAGCCAGCAGCCUUUCAGCUACCUCAACCUCACCCAGAGGCUCACGCGCGAGGCCACCAACUUCCUGCACAGGAAUGCCCAGAGCCCUUUCCUCCUGGUGCUGUCCUACCUGCAAGUCCACACGGCCCUGUAUGCUUCCGCGGAAUUCUCUGGAAAGAGUCAGCAUGGGGAAUAUGGGGACGCAGUGGAGGAGAUGGACUGGAGCGUGGGACAGGUGCUGAGGACUCUGGAUGAGCUGGGCCUGGCCAGCAGCACCUUCGUCUACUUCUCGUCUGACCAUGGGGCGCACUUGGAGGAGAGGAGCCCAGAAAACAAACCCCAGGGCGGCAGCAAUGGCGUCUACAAAGGGGGCAAAGGCAUGAACUGGGAGGGCGGCAUCCGAGUCCCGGGCCUCGUGCGCUGGCUGGGCGUGAUCCCCGCGGGAGCGGAACUGGGCGAACCCACCAGCAACAUGGAUCUGUUCCCCACUGUCGCCAAGCUGGCCGGAGCCCUGCUGCCCCAGGACCGGGUCAUAGACGGACGAGACCUGAUGCCCCUGCUUCAGGGCCAAACUCAGUGCUCGGACCACGAGUUUCUCUUUCACUACUGCAACUCCUACCUGAACGCCGUGCGCUGGCACCCCCAGAACAGAGGGGACUGGGGACUCGAACCCAGGUCCUUGCGCAUUGCAACAUGUGCGCCCAACCAGGUACGCCAUCGCCCAGCCCCUAGAUAUAUAUUUGUUUAAUUUACAAAAGGAAAGUCCUUCACUCAGCCUUUUUUUUUUAAUUAAAUUUUUGGAUUUAGGAAUUACUUCUGUUAUUAGUGACUUAGUAUUGAUUUAUAAAAACCAUAAGAUAACAGGGAGACAAUCCCACACCGUUCCCCCCACCAGAGUCCCAUGUUCCCAUCCCCUCCACUGGAACCUGCAUUGCUUCUCCCAAGCUCACAGACAUGGGCUGACGAUUAUUUCUACGACUGUCUAGAUUUAUAUAUCUUUGCCCAUGUUUUCCCCUCUGGUCCUGCCUUCUCUUCCUGUCUCAGCCACACCUCCACCUGUCACUCCUUCCGAGUGUCCCUCCUUUUUUCCGCUUCUCUCUCUCCGGGUCCUGAUGAAAUUGGGGUUCAGAGCCCUCUGGGCAUCUUCCCCCUGACAUUUCUCCCCCUCUGGGAGCCUGGAUCCAAAUUUCUUUUCCGCCAUCCUUGUAGAGCCUGCCCCCUGGUCCUGGUGGUGCGUCUGGAAGCGGGUAGGGGGCCUAGGUGUCUAGACAAAGGUCUCCACAUUGAAUCAAAGAGUCCGUGCGCUUUAGGGCAAAGCGGGUGUUUGUAACCUAUGGAUGCUGCAGGGUGAGAGGGUGAGAGGGUCUGAGUUUUCUGACCCCCUUCAUUCUGUUAGGGAAAAGUUCCAUAAUAAAGAGAAGUGUGCUGGUCUCUCGAACCCUCGGCCACCGUCCCAGCCCACAACAGGUGGCUUCCGCUGCGUGUCCUGAGUUUCUUUCUGGCUCACAAACUGGUGUCUGAGUUUCUGGACCUGUGGGCAUCGUGCUUCUCAGCUGUGCAAUCAGUCUCCUCAAAGGGGACAAAAGGGGACAGAUUCAUGGGUAGAAAGUUGUCGCUGACAUCUGGCCGUUCUUUCUUGCCGGGGUGGAUCCGUGGUGGAGGCGGGUGGUGAAGGGUUUACUCAGCCAGUCCCAUCAGAUCGAUCCAUUUCCUGGUGUGCCUUCAGGGCUUUGUCUGGUUUUUAAUGUUUUAUUAGUGAUUGAAUAAUGAUGAACAAGAUGGUAAGAUCACAGGGUGACAAUCCCACCCAGUUCCCACCCCCAGAGUCCCCUGUCCCGUCCCCUCCAUUGGAAGCUUCCCUGUUCUUUAUCCCUCUGGGAGCCUGGACCCAAAUUCUUUCUGGGGAGCAGAAGGUGGGAGUUGUGGCUUCUGUCAUUGCUUCUCCGCUGGACAUGGGUGUUGGCAGGUGGACCCACACCCCCAGCCUGUGUCUGUCUGUCCCUUGUGGGGCAGGGCUCUGGGGAGGGGAGGCUCCAGGACACACGGGUGAGGGCGUCUGCCCAGGGAGGUCAGGUUGGCGUCACGGCAGCAUUUGCAACUUGGUGUCUGAGAAGCAUUAAGAUAUAAAGCAGGACAAAGUGUUUAAUAACCAGGAACCCAAAGGUAGGAACAGAGCAGAUGGAACUAGGGGUCUUCAUGUGGGAAGAAGCCAGGACGUCUAUUUUAGGUCUAUUCCAAGGGGCCCGUGACUUUCGUCAUUGUCACCUGAGCCCGACAGGUAACCUGCAAGUGGGCUGCAAGUCUUGUCUGGGGAGAUGGUGUCGGAGUUGGGAAUAGGACUAGAAAACUGGAUCAGGUCAGACAGCAGCUCCCACAUAUGGGAAAAUACAUAAAUACCAUUAACUGUCAACCCCGUCUAUCUCACCCAGGGCCCAUAUCUGUACAUAUGUCUGUUCAUUCAGCACAGGAGCCUGUGUGACCUCUGAGUCCCUACCAGUCUGAGCUCACAGUCCUUGGUCACAGCUGGAACAUUCUAGGCUGCUCUCAUUUCAGGACCCAUCUUCCUUGAGUGGCAGAAUAGGCUGACCCGGCCUCACUUCGGUGAAUGGGGCAGAUUUCCACACCUCGUUCAGUGAAAACUAGACCUGUGUGUAAUCACUGUAGUUAACCUUGGUUUCAACCAUUCUGCAUCCAAAAUUUAUAUUUGGCUUCUGACAGGCAACAGGAAACUGCGAACCUUUUCUUCUUAUUAUUUUUUUCCUCCUCUUCCACCAUGCUGGAAGACAUACCCGGGCGUAUUUCUGCUGAUUAUCGAUAAUGAUUGCUGUUAACUCUUGGGCUGUUCAGGCUUUCAAGCUUUCAAAUAAACAUGCUUUUGGGUUGG